rnacentral:rRNA from 1 species
AUUGAACGCUGGCGGCAGGCCUAACACAUGCAAGUCGAACGAGUGGCGGACGGGUGAGUAAUGUCUGGGAACCUGCCUGAUGGAGGGGGAUAACUACUGGAAACGGUAGCUAAUACCGCAUACUAUCAGAUGAGCCCAGAUGGGAUUAGCUUGUUGGUGGGGUAACGGCUCACCAGGGCGACGAUCCCGAGCUGGUCUGAGAGGAUGACCAGCCACACUGGAACUGAGACACGGCCCAGAAUCCUCCGGGAGGCAGCAGUGGGGAAGAUGGCACAAUGGGCGCAAGCCUGAUGCAGCCAGGCCGCGUGUAUGAAGAAGGCCUGAGGGUUGUAAAGUACUUUCAGCGGGGAGGCGUUACCCGCAGAAGAAGCACCGGCUAACUCCGUGCCAGCAGCCGCGGUAAUUC